rnacentral:misc_RNA from 1 species
CUGCCGAGGGCCAUCCCUUGCGCGCAGGCACACACACAUACACACACUGAGAGCGUGCCGCCGUAGUAUGAAGCGAGAGUUGGCGCCGACCCCGCCGGGUGCGCCGCGGUGCGAGGACGGCUUUGAGUCUCCGUCCGGCAUUCGUGUCACUUGCACAAAGGACUGGGUGAAGCAGCACCCGGUGGAGGGUGACGGCCUGUGCGUCCAUCUCUAUCAGUACCUGCACAAGAAUGUUAAGGGCCGGGAGCACUCCAUGUCCGCGGUGCUCUUGCCAGACACGGUCGUGUUCGACCACAACUUCCCCCGCGCGUGGUACGCCUACGAUCGCAAGAACAGCGAGAUCGUGAAGCGGCCGGGGUCUAUGCUGGAUGCGCAGACUAUGUACGCGCACUUUUCCGAGUCCGUAAAGGGCUGCGACAUCGUUGCUCAGUUCUUCCACACGAGCGUCGACGUGGAAGAGGAUUGGAAGGAGGUGCUCACGCCGCAGCAGCUGAGGGCGCACCAGUACGCCAACCAGCAGCUCACGUACGUGGAGUUCUUCACGGCUGACGCUCUGCGCUGCUUUCUGUUUGACCAGAAACGCAAGCCGGACGGCGUGCUGCAGAAGUUCGUCAUCCCCAAAGGCGAGGGGUCCAGUCGGCGCAACUUCCAGCUGCAGGUGAUCUGGACUCCAUACAUCACGACCGUUUACCGCCGCACAAACCGCUCCCGGCUGACGGAUCACGUCGUGCCGCUGGCAAAUCGCGCCGCGACCUUUGAUGGAGCACCGUACCUCAGUGAUGAGACCCUCGUCGCCGACGAAACCAAGAGGCAGGUGACACAGCUGUGCGAGAGCAUUGCAGACCACUUCUACGCUACAGAGAAAAAGCGGCUCUCGCGUCUCAUCCUGUACGUGAAGGCGGACGAUCAGAGUCGCAUGUGGGUGCUGUGGAGCAGCUGCAUCCGUGUCGCGCCCGACGCCAUGAACCCGACGCUGCUGCGCGUGCCCGUGUGCCUGAGCAUGCGGACAGAGGUGCUCAACGACGGCGGCAGCACGCUGACGCGGCUGCAAACACGCCGUCACCGGCAGCGGCAGCUUCUCGCGCUCGAUGCAGAGCUGUUCGAAAUGACGCGUGACUUUGAGUUCGCGCUCACGCUGAACGCGUCCCACAAGCGACAGGCGAAGGCGCUUGGCCUCCGCGGUAGGGGGCACGGCACCGGGCCGCAAGUGCGUCCGACACGGUGGCGCGGCGAUCAGAAGGCGCCAGUGGAGCGAGAGAACCCGCUCUACGCGUCGUUCCUGGCCCUUGAGGUGGGCAGCGGCGGGACGGCCCCGGUAAGCGUCGUGCCAUUCGUGGGUCGCGACAGCGGCAGCAUGCAGCCGGACCGAUGCACUGCCGUGUCUCAGCUCGAUGACGAGGGUGUGGCCGGAGGCGAGGACGAGCUCGUGUCGGACCCUGUUGCACAGGUGCAGGAGGAGCUGGUUGCCUUGGCCAUGGACGCAUGGUACGCAACAUACUCCACAAUCUUGGCUGAUGAUCCUCACAUGAUGCCGACGGCGCGUGCCGAGCUGGCAGCCCCGCUCGUGGGCACGCUGACACAGGAGGAGCUGCAAGGGCUGGUGGAGGUGCUGGGGCUCCUUCCUGCGCCUAGCGAUCCCGCGGCUGCUGAUGCUUCCCGUAGCGCUACCGACGUUGCUGCGGCCACGUCGACGUCGCACUACGUGGUCGCCCCGUACUUGGUCACGUCUGGGCGGCGCCUGGAUCGUCCGUCGGCCGAGGUGGAGCUGGACGUGGUGAGUUACCUCGCGGAGGUCUUUCGCCGUCGCGGAGACGAGAUUAGCCGUUCCUGCAUGGAGAAGUUCAGCCACUUUCUGUGAUGCGCUGAGGCGGCGUUGAUGUACGGCGAGUUGUUCCUCUUGUUGGCAUUUUCUUCGCGCGGCUGCACCGCAGUCGUGCACAUCCCCUUCGUCUCGCUUUUGAUUUUUUCCCGUCUCGCUCCUCACCCGGCACUCUGGCUUCCCCCCUCUCUGCUGCGUGCACGAGGAGAGCGAGGGAAGGUGUGUGUGUGUGUGUGUCGGUGGAGGUGGUGGCCUGCCGAGACGUCUGUUGUCUUUCUCCUCAUCUCUCCCAUGCCGCCCGACAAGGUUUCGCAUAAGUGCUUAUAGAGUAGACGCAGCGCUUCUUCUUCUGUUAUGGGAUGGGAGCCUUUUUCUUGAUGUAGGUGUGCGUGUUUGCAGUGCUGGGCCUUGUGCUCGCUCGCGGAGGCCACGGCGCUGUCCUGUGCCACAGUAUUUCGGCUCCCAAGUGCCUUGAAGAUAGAGCGAGCCUCGUCAUGGGAGCGGCAUACAGCUCUAUAGACCCGAAUGACAUGGGACAAAAAAUAACGAACGAGACGCACGCAGCAGUGACCGCUCACGCACAUCGAGCCGCGGCUGGCGCUUACGCGCGCUUGGUGGUGUUGGGCUCUUUUCCGCCUUGUUAUGCGUUCUCUCCUGCCGCUCCCAGAUCACGUGCAUGUGUGCCUACCGUACGCAUUCGUCCUGAACGUGUGCGCUCGCACGUGUGCAUGUGGCCGUGCGUGGACUGGAUUCAGUCCAUUCGGCUUCUCUCCCCCCGGAGCGCGUUAACGUUAUCGCUGGGGGUGUGUACAUUGUGCUGCAUCGGAGCUCCCCUGCUCUCAUUCGCUUCCUCCCCUGCGCCUCUCUCGGUCUUCCCUCUGCUUCUCUGGACGUGUGCCUUGAUGUGCAUGUGUGCACUCCGACCUCUCGGGCAG